rnacentral:rRNA from 1 species
GACGAACGCUGACGGCGUGCCUAACACAUGCAAGUCGAACGAAGACCAUAGAGGAGCUUGCUUUAAUAUGGUUUAGUGGCGGACGGGUGAGUAACGCGUGAGGACUUGUCGAGUACAGGGGGACAACAGGUGGAAACGUCUGCUAAUACCCCAUAAGCCUUCGGGUAAAGGAGCGAUCCGGUACACGAGAGACUCGCGUUCUAUCAGCUAGUAGGUGGGGUAACGGCCCACCCAGGCCAAGACGGAUAGCCGGACUGAGAGGUCGAUCGGCCACACUGGAACUGAGACACGGUCCAGACUCCUACGGGAGGCAGCAGUGGGGAAUAUUGCGCAAUGGGGGAAACCCGUGACGCAGCAAUACCGCGUGAGUGAAGAAGGUUUUCGGGUC